rnacentral:siRNA from 1 species
CGGUUAUGGGCGAAGAGAUACAAC